rnacentral:rRNA from 1 species
AUUGAACGCUGGCGGCAGGCCUAACACAUGCAAGUCGAACGAGUGGCGGACGGGUGAGUAAUGUUUGGGAAACCGCCUGAUGCCUGGGGUUAACUACUGGAAACGGUAUCUAAUCCCGAAUACCAUCAGUUAUGCCCAUAUGGGAUUCGUUAGUUGGUGGGGUAACGGCGCACCAUGGCGACGAUCCAUAGCUGAUCUGAGAGGCUGACCAGCCACACUGGGACUGAGACACGGUACAUACGCCUACGGGAGGCAGCAGUGGGGAAUAUUGCGCAAUGGGCGCAAGCCUGAUGCAGCAAUGCCGCGUGUAUGAAGAAGGCCUUCGGGUUGUAAAGUACUGUCAGCGGGGAAGCGUUACCCGCAGAAGAAGCACCGGCUAACUCCGUGCCAGCAGCCGCGGUAAUAC